ACGAUAAAUAUCUCUUUUAUCAAUGAAGAGAGGGAUAUAAGAGAGACACAAGCAAUUAAAGUUUUCAGAUUUCAAGCUUUUAAAGUUUUAAAAUCUACUUUUGUAAUUGAUAUAUUAAAAUUUGUACUUUAAUCCAAACUCAAUAAAACGAGUUUAUACUCGACAUUUAGCGCCUCUCUUCUUUUAGACUUAAGCCUUAGCAACUCUCGACCUCGGUAAGUACCCUUUUAAAAGGUUAAUACUUAGUGUCUGGAAGUAUCGAGUAGACUUCACAUCAUGUAUCACUUAAAGACAAUAUUCCCAUUCAAGUAUCAACCACGAUUCGAAGUGUCGGCAUCACUAAGAAAGAGAGACGUAUUGAAGCACUCAGCAUGCAUCUUCUACUAUGAAUACCACCUCUCUCAACAUGGUUUAUUUCCUUGUAUUUCUGCUUGGAACACCUACAGUAACAAUUUUUUUGCAGAAAGGUCUGGAGUUGCAUUGGAUGGGAGAUGGACCAGCUGGAACAAAAGAGGCAGAAAACAGUGCAAUUUGGUGAUUUUCAAGCAUAACAGUCUUGACCUGUUCCGGAUAGCGGAGAAACCCGAAUGACUGUUCCGAGUGUCUGUUCCAGCGGCAGAGAUUUUUAAGAAAACUACAACAUAUUUCGGAAUUUGCCCUAAUCUCUCUAUUUUCUCUCCGAGCCGCCUGUGGCUUUGAUAUAUCUUCUUUUUCUGUUUUUCCUUAUCAUUCUAUGCUAGUUUACAGAGAGGAACCAGACCCAAAAACUCCAUUGUUGGAUUUGCUUAUUGUAAAGGGAGAAGGAUCUCUACACUCUUGAGAAGAAUCCUGAACUCUAUCUCUUUUAUUUUAUUGAUUCCGCAUGUUUUCUUCAUCUGUUAUCUCUGUGUUCUCAGUAAGUAUGGCUGAGUAGUCAUCUUGCUUAGUCUAGGGUGUUAGGGUGUUUAGAUCCAUGAGCUAAAUACAAAUAAAGAUUUAUGUUUUGAUUGUCUCUAUUCAUGAUUGCGCUUACUGCCUACAUUAAACAUUUGGAAAGCAUUAAUAUUUAGUAAAUAUUUUUCUAAAUGCUUUUCUAACAAUUGUUGAUUGGAUAAUGUAGAGCAUAAUGAUAAUGAUACUGCUAAUAUCUUACCAAUUAAGGCCUUAGACUAGGGCUUUACAAAGAGAGUUAGUGAAAAUAUUCUACAUUUCUUAACCCUAGAGAUUCCUAAAUCAAUCAUUGAUAUGAUUAAUCCUUAAUAUAGAUUAUAAUAUUACUUUCUAAUAACAGACGAGGAACAAGAUUUGUCUCUUCGUUUAUGGGAAUGUCAUUUAUUUCUUCAAAGAUUGUUUCUAUUUAUGCGAUCCAGCUUAUAACUCUAUUCUCCCUCUUCUCAUUUCUUACGUCAUAAUAAUACACUUUGACAAACAAAAAACAACACCAAAGCAUUUGAUUCUUGUGU